rnacentral:rRNA from 1 species
GUAAAAGUCGUAACAAGGUCUCCGUUGGUGAACCAGCGGAGGGAUCAUUACCGAGUUCUUUGCAACUCCCAACCCUGUGAACCAUACCAAAGUUUUUUGUUCUCGUUGCUUCUGGCAGGCGGCCCUCCGGGGCACGCAGGCUCCGGUGCCACGUCCGGGUGCCUGCCAGAGGCGGCUUGCUCCAACUUCUAUUCUUUCUUACCUGACCGUCUGAGAACGAUUUUCACAAAUCAAAUCAAAACUUUCAACAACGGAUCUCUUGGCUCUGGCAUCGAUGAAGAACGCAGCGAAAUGCGAUACGUAAUGUGAAUUGCAGAAUUCAGUGAAUCAUCGAAUCUUUGAACGCACAUUGCGCCUGCCAGCAUUCUGGCAGGCAUGCCUGUCCGAGCGUCAUUUCCACCCUCAUGCGCCCCGUUUGCGCGUGGUGUUGGGGCUCUGCUCUCCCGCCCUGGCGCGGGAGAGGCCCUGAAAGCGAGUGGCGGGCCGCCUGGUUUGGCUCCGAGCGCAGUAGAAACGCAUCGUUUUUUUCCCGCUCUGGACGCUGCCGGCGGCGCCCUGCCGUCAAAACGCACAGAUGACGUGCAACUUUUUUAAGGUUGACCUCGGAUCAGGUAGGACUACCCGCUGAACUUAAGC